UGGGGAAUUUUGGACAAUGGGCGAAAGCCUGAUCCAGCAAUGCCGCGUGUGUGAAGAAGGCCUUCGGGUUGUAAAGCACUUUUGUCCGGAAAGAAAUCCUUGGCUCUAAUACAGUCGGGGGAUGACGGUACCGGAAGAAUAAGCACCGGCUAACUACGUGCCAGCAGCCGCGGUAAUACGUAGGGUGCAAGCGUUAAUCGGAAUUACUGGGCGUAAAGCGUGCGCAGGCGGUUUGCUAAGACCGAUGUGAAAUCCCCGGGCUCAACCUGGGAACUGCAUUGGUGACUGGCAGGCUAGAGUAUGGCAGAGGGGGGUAGAAUUCCACGUGUAGCAGUGAAAUGCGUAGAGAUGUGGAGGAAUACCGAUGGCGAAGGCAGCCCCCUGGGCCAAUACUGACGCUCAUGCACGAAAGCGUGGGGAGCAAACAGGAUUAGAUACCCUGGUAGUCCACGCCCUAAACGAUGUCAACUAGUUGUUGGGGAUUCAUUUCCUUAGUAACGUAGCAACGCGUGAAGUUGACCGCCUGGGGAGUAC
rnacentral:rRNA from 1 species